rnacentral:misc_RNA from 1 species
GUGGMCGACYGUGUGGUUGGCUGCGGCGCUUGCACAACUUCCAUGCUUUCAGACCUYUUCAGUUGUGCGGCAAGGCUUGUAUCGCCUUGAGCGUAUUGUGGGUUUUCUGUGUUGAAUACCUAAUCAAUGGUAUCGGUUGGAUUGAUCAAAGUCUCGUUUCGUCUUCCGUCGCAUUCGCGGCGUGAGGUGAACAUCGAUGCGGUCUCUUUGAUCCACCUCGUCGAAGCACAUGCUUUGACGUUGUGGCWCAUUGAGCAUUGCUUGGUCUCUUGUAUACGGAACAUAUAGUGGGCAUGGAUCUAACGAUUCUUGUUUGCCCUCAUAUAGCGUAACGCUUCUCUAACACGACGUGUGCCACGUUUUAGCUCGUACGGACGUGGUGCUAUGUCGAAGAGGAAUGCUACCUGGUUGAUCCUGCCAGUAGUCAUAUGCUUGUCUCAAAGAUUAAGCCAUGCUGGUKKUAAGUA